GACGAACGCUGGCGGCGUGCUUAACACAUGCAAGUCGAACGGUAAGGCCCUUUCGGGGGUACACGAGUGGCGAACGGGGGAGUAACACGUGGGUGAUCUGCCCUGCACUUUGGGAUAAGCCUGGGAAACUGGGUCUAAUACCGGAUAGGACUACGCGAUGCAUGUCGUGUGGUGGAAAGCUUUUGCGGUGUGGGAUGGGCCCGCGGCCUAUCAGCUUGUUGGUGGGGUGAUGGCCUACCAAGGCGACGACGGGUAGCCGGCCUGAGAGGGUGUCCGGCCACACUGGGACUGAGAUACGGCCCAGACUCCUACGGGAGGCAGCAGUGGGGAAUAUUGCACAAUGGGCGCAAGCCUGAUGCAGCGACGCCGCGUGGGGGAUGACGGCCUUCGGGUUGUAAACCCCUUUCAGCACAGACGAAGCGUAAGUGACGGUAUGUGCAGAAGAAGCACCGGCCAACUACGUG
rnacentral:rRNA from 1 species